rnacentral:rRNA from 1 species
AGUGAACGCUGGCGGUAGGCCUAACACAUGCAAGUCGAACGGCAGCACAGUAAGAGCUUGCUCUUACGGGUGGCGAGUGGCGGACGGGUGAGGAAUACAUCGGAAUCUACUUUUUCGUGGGGGAUAACGUAGGGAAACUUACGCUAAUACCGCAUACUACCUACGGGUGAAAGCAGGGGAUCUUCGGACCUUGUGCGAUUGAAUGAGCCGAUGUCGGUUUAGCUAGUUGGCGGGGUAAAGGCCCACCAAGGCGACGAUCCGUAGCUGGUCUGAGAGGAUGAUCAGCCACACUGGAACUGAGACACGGUCCAGACUCCUACGGGAGGCAGCAGUGGGGAAUAUUGGACAAUGGGCGCAAGCCUGAUCCAGCCAUACCGCGUGGGUGAAGAAGGCCUUCGGGUUGUAAAGCCCUUUUGUUGGGAAAGAAAAGCAGCAGGUUAAUACCCCGCUGUUCUGACGGUACCCAAAGAAGAAGCACCGGCUAACUUCGUG